rnacentral:rRNA from 1 species
UACGUAGGGGGCUAGCGUUGUCCGGAAUCAUUGGGCGUAAAGCGCGUGUAGGCGGCCCGGUAAGUCUGCUGUGAAAGUCGGGGGCUCAACCCUCGGAUGCCGGUGGAUACUGUCGGGCUUGAGUACGGAAGAGGCGAGUGGAAUUCCUGGUGUAGCGGUGAAAUGCGCAGAUAUCAGGAGGAACACCUAUUGCGAAGGCAGCUCGCUGGGACGUGACUGACGCUGAGACGCGAAAGCGUGGGGAGCAAACAGG